ensembl:lncRNA EPIC1 epigenetically induced MYC interacting lncRNA 1
GGGCCGGGAUCCAAUGGAGUGGACGCCAGUCAGAGUCUGAAUCCCUGAGAACCAGGAGUACCAACGGCCAGAGGGAACGGAUGUCUGCCUUGGGUCAGGCAGAGAGAAUCCAAACGCCCUCCACCUUUUUGUCCUGUUCCGGCUUCCACAGAUUGGACGAGGCCCACCCACCUUGGGGAGGGGCCAGCUGCUGUGUUCAGUCCGCCAUUGCAAACACGAAGCUCUUCCAGAAACGCCCUCACAGACACCCCGGAAGUCACGUACCCACUCUGUAGGUGCCCCGGGGCACAGGCAAGCGGACGAGCCAGUUAUCCCUCAGAGCUCCUGCUGCCUCGCCCGCUUUCUCUCGGAAACGUGAAGUGUGGCCUCAGCUGAAAGUGAGGUGGGCCUCAUUCAAUCAGUUGAAUUCUUCAAGAGAGAAAAACUGAAGUCCCUUAGAAGGAAAGAGUUCUGCCUUCAGACUGUCUUUGAACUUAAGACUGUAGCGUCGACUCCUGCCGGAAUUUCCAGCCUGCUGGCCAGCUCUGCAGAUUCACACUUGCCAGCCUCCACAAUCGUGCAGCUGAGGCGGAGGAACCCUAAGGGCUCAUUGAGAUCAUGGAUUUGCCCUUCUAUGCAUUGAUGGAGCACCUGCUGCCCACAGCGUCUGUAUUUGGUGCUGGGAUGCUGAGGACACUGAGAUCUUCAAACAGAGGCUGCCACUCUAAGCAAACAGAUCCCGAGCCCUGGACUCUGAAGCUUGGGCCCAGUUCUCCUUUUCUCCGGGUUUCAGAUCCCACUGUGAAGUGAGGGGGCCCUUCUGAUUCAGGACCCGGGGAAGCCAGGGGCAUGAGCAUCGGUGCCUCUUCUCUAUUUCAAGGACCCUUCUGGGUGUAAAGUUCUCUGAGAUGCCUUACAUGGAUUCCCACCACUGCAAGAUAACCAUCGUAUGUAAAGUGUUAUGACCAGCAGAGCGUAAUUGAAGUGCAUUCCAGAGGGAAAGACAGCGGCUCAGAUUCUAUUGAAAGAAACAUGACAUAAUGAUACCACAGCAAAAGCCAAUCUUGCUCCUUUUUAAAAAAUUAAAAACAAAACAAAACAAAAUUAAAAAACAAGAAAAAACACCACCAUAGGAUGUCCACCCUGGGAGACUAAUUCUAAGAGAGAAGCUCUGUUCUUCCACUGCUAAUCACUCCAAAUAAAUACCACGACUGAGCUUGUCGGAGAAGAGAGAGCAGCAACAGCCUUGCCCACAGGUCUUCUCAUCUGCAUGAGAACAAAGUGGAUGGCUCAGAAAGACAGAGACACUCUUCCAUCCAAUAUGAAAUCCCAUCAGAAGUGUAGAGAGGCCUCCAGCUGCAUCCACCUCCAGGCCCCACCCAGCCUCCUGUCCUGAGCCGCUUUGGAUGAGAUCAGGGGCUCAUGAGCCAUGCAAAGCCAGCCCGGCAUUCCUGCCCAGAACAGCCAUGCUUGCAUGUUUCUGUACAUUUCGUCCAUGGUCUUCUUGUCCACAAGUCUUAGCCGGCCUAUUUCCCUUCUCCAGAAACAUAAACAUGGUAUUUGUAAUUUUA